AACGAACGCUGGCGGCAGGCCUAAAACAUGCAAGUCGAACGAACCUUCGGGCUAGUGGCGCACGGGUGAGUAACGCGUGGGAAUGUGCCUCUGGGUGCGGAACAACGUCGGGAAACUGACGCUAAUACCGCAUAAUGUCUACGGACCAAAGAUUUAUCGCCCAGAGAUCAGCCCGCGUCUGAUUAGCUAGUUGGUGAGGUAACGGCUCACCAAGGCUACGAUCAGUAGCUGGUCUGAGAGGAUGAUCAGCCACACUGGAACUGAGACACGGUCCAGACUCCUACGGGAGGCAGCAGUUAGGAAUAUUGGACAAUGGGGGAAACCCUGAUCCAGCCAUGCCGCGUGUGUGAAGAAGGCCUUAGGGUUGUAAAGCACUUUCGGCUGUGAAGAUAAUGACAGUAGCAGAAGAAGAAGCUCCGGCUAAAUUCGUG
rnacentral:rRNA from 1 species